CGAACGCUGGCGGCACGCCUAACACAUGCAAGUCGAGCGAGAUCUUCGGAUCUAGCGGCGGACGGGUUAGUAACGCGUGGGAACGUACCUUUUGCUUCGGAAUAGCCUCGGGAAACUGGGAGUAAUACCGAAUGUGCCCUUUGGGGGAAAGAUUUAUCGGCAAAGGAUCGGCCCGCGUCUGAUUAGAUGUUGGUGGGGUAAUGGCCUACCAAGUCUGCGAUCAGUAGCUGGUUUGAGAGGAUGAUCAGCAACACUGGGACUGAGACACGGCCCAGACUCCUACGGGAGGCNGCAGUGGGGAAUCUUAGACAAUGGGCGCAAGCCUGAUCUAGCGAUGCCGCGUGAGUGACGAAGGCCUUAGGGUCGUAAAGCUVUUUCGCCAGGGAUGAUAAUGACAGUACCUGGUAAAGAAACCCCGGCUAACUCCGUGCCAGCAGCCGCGGUAAUACGGAGGGGGUUAGCGUUGUUCGGAAUUACUGGGCGUAAAGCGCACGUAGGCGGACCAUCAAGUUGGGGGUGAAAUCCCGGGGCUCAACCCCGGAACUGCCUCCAAAACUGCUGGUCUUGAGUUCGAGAGAGGUGAGUGGAAUUCCGAGUGUAGAGGUGAAAUUCGUAGAUAUUCGGAGGAACACCAGUGGCGAAGGCGGCUCACUGGCUCGAUACUGACGCUGAGGUGCGAA
rnacentral:rRNA from 1 species